AGAAGUGUUAGUGGCGGACGGGGUGAGUAACGCGUGGGUAACCUGCCUUGCACAGGGGGACAACAGUUGGAAACGACUGCUAAUACCGCAUAAGCCGGUAGACCGCAUGGUUAUCCGGAAAAGAUUUAUCGGUGCAAGAUGGGCCCGCGUUGGAUUAGUUAGUUGGCGGGGUAACGGCCCACCCAAGACCGCGAUCCAUAGCCGACCUGAGAGGGUGAUCGGCCACAUUGGGACUGAGACACGGCCCAAACUCCUACGGGAGGCAGCAGUGGGGAAUAUUGCGCAAUGGGGGAAACCCUGACGCAGCAACGCCGCGUGAGUGAGGAAGUAUUUCGGUAUGUAAAGCUCUAUCAGCAGGGAAGAACGAUGACGGUACCUGCAGAAGAAGUCCCGGCUAACUACGUGCC
rnacentral:rRNA from 1 species